GAACAAUAUUGCAAAGUGCCGCAUAGUUGAAUAUUGAUUACAAUAAACAGCAUCUAGGGCACAAAUGACCUUUGUGAUAAAAUCUGGAAAAAUUAUUGAUACUAAAAAAACCUUGCAGAAAAGAAGUUUUAAAAGAUAAAUUCAACAAAAGCUAUCACACUGAGUCCUCUCUACUAAGAUAAAUAUUGUCACAUGACAGCUAAUAGCAAAGAUAAAACUGACUUAGAAGGCAUCGUUAUCUCUAGCUUGACCACCAUAGCCCCCACCAUAUCCACCGCCGCCACCACCACCACCAUAUCCACCCCCAUAUCCACCACUUCUAGGGGCACGCUCUUGGGCUAAAUUAACACGGAUAUUCCUUCCAUGCAGUUGCUGACCGUCCAUUGCGUUCAUAGCUUCUUUUGCACAAUCUUCAUCUGAGAAGUUCACAAAUCCAAAUCCCCUUGAUCUGCCAGAAUCUCUGUCAAUGAUUACCUUUGCAUCAACAACAUCACCAAAGCUAGUAAAGGCCUCUUUCAGUGACUGAUCAUCUGUUCCCCAUGAAAGACCACCAACAAAAAGUUUUGAUGACAUGCACCGGAUGGCAUUAAGCAUCGCUGGAGUUGGUGAAUUUGCACUUACUGCAUUUCCCGUGGAAAUGCUCUGCCUCAACAGACCACCGAGUUUGUUGCAGAAAGCCAUUUGUGCAGACAAAUUCACAAAUCUGAGCGAGAGAGGAAGUUUCAGGGUUUAAGGAGAGAGAAAGAGAAACGAAAUGAGGAGCGGCUAGGGUUUAAGCCACUUCUCUGAUAUGGAGAAGGGAG
rnacentral:misc_RNA from 1 species